GACUGUACAAAGGUAGCAUAAUCACUUGUCUCUUAAUUGGAGUCUGGUAUGAAUGGUUGGAUGAGAAAUCUACUUUCUUUUUUUUAAAAAUAAAAUUUGAUUUUUGGAUUAAAAAGUCCAAGUGUCUUUAAAGGACGAGAAGACCCUAUAGAGCUUUACUUUUCCUAAAUUAAUUAUUCAUUUGUGAAUAAUUUUUUAUUAUUUUUAGGAAAAGUUUUAUUGGGGUGAUAAAAAAAAUUUUGUAACUUUUUUUAUUUUUUUCAUUUAUUUAUGUUAAAUUUUUGAUCCCUUUUUAGGGAAUAUAAGAUUAAGCUACCUUAGGGAUAACAGCGUUAUUAUUUUAGAGAGCUCUUAUUGAUAAAAUAGUUUGCGACCUCGAUGUUGGAUUAAAAUUAGUGUCAGGGGUAGAAUAUUGAUUACUAGGUCUGUUCGACCUUUAAAUUUUUACA
rnacentral:rRNA from 1 species